UUCCAGGCAGUUUGGAUCUCAUUUAACUGCUUCUUCCUGUUGACAUUGUCUUCUGGAAUACUCCUUGAUUGAUUGACAGCUCUGCAAACUUGCACCUCUUUGCCUCUGUUUGCAGGCUUUACUCCAUUAUACUUUUCCAUAGGACACAUCCAAGUUUAUUCACUUCUAGAGGGAUGGACCAUUCAAUGACAAAUCAGCAUUCUAUGAAGUUCAGACUUCCCUAAAACUCCAGGCUGGACACUUUCCCCAUCAUCCCAUUGUAGCACUGAGCUAGGAAUAAAGAAAACAGCAUGGUCCAGUGGAAAGGGGGCUGGACUUGGAGAAGACUUGAGUGAAAGUCCCAGUUCUGAUGCUUACAACCUAUGUGAAUUUGGUGGCUCUUGGGGGGAUGCCUGUAGUGCCUGUAAGCACUGAAGAGGUGAGCCACGUGGAAAGAAGGUCCCUCAAAUUCCUAAUCUAGCCCAUUAUGAAGGCCUCUAUCUCUCAUAGCAUCUACACCGAUCUCUACAACAGGAAAAGAAAUAAUCUUUUAGGGUAAGUAUUGGAUCUAUCUUUCUGACUUCUCCAUGCGAGAGUUAUUCCUUUUUUUUAUUAAUUUUAGGGAGAAUGAAAGACUGGAUUAACAAAGUAAAUUUCUGAUCAAAACAACUUAUUUCACUCUGUGAAUGAGUGUAAAUAUAAGUAAGAGAA